ACACCCGUUUUAUAGCUGUUAUGGGUUUGACCCGAGCUUAGCCUUGUUCAUUUUUUUACACAAUAGUCACAUAAAAAUCUGAACACACCCCGGUUAACCCCCCGGCAAACUCAACACAGACAGCUAUUUGACGGCCCUUCUCCGCCCCAAAACCGGCCACCACGCCCCAUAACAGGGCAA
rnacentral:sRNA from 1 species